ensembl:lncRNA
UGAAGAUGCUGCUGCUGUGACGGCUGUAGUUGUUGAGAGCAGAAUGUUGACAAGGACUGUGAAGACAUAGAGCCGUGCACUCUGGAUUCCUGUUGGUAGCUUGCAGAGGAAAUGGCUCCAUUGUUAUCUUCCCUCCAUCGUAUGAGAUACGAAGUGCUGUUCUUUCACUGUCUUAAGAUGUUCAGGAACAUUUUCACAUUUUGGAACAGUUGCUCCCACCUGUUCAGAAAGGAAUGUUGAAUAAUACUGUCAGCAGAUCAACUAUGUUAAUACUUGGGAUGUUCUGAAGACUUGAUACACAGUCCUUCCAGUGGCACAUAAGACAACUGACGACAGCAGCAGCACAGUUGGGCAUGAAGGUUUUAUGCCUAUGUCUGUUCAGAAAUGCCCUUUCAGUUAUGUACUCCCAUAAACUGAAUCAGCAUAUAAAUCUGCACGCUAUGCAAUAGAUGUAUAUGUAGCGGAGGCGCUGGGAUCCAACUCAGGAUAAUGGUGAGUCGAAUUCAGUCACGUCAGAUGUUGGACUUGGGAAAGCGCCUAUUAAGGACGGCAGUGCCAGCUGGGGAAGGUCUUGCAUCUGGCUAUGUGCUCCUGUCACCAAAGCCACUCCUAAGGCUGCACCAGGGCAGCAGUUUGCAGGGUGAUUGAAUGAACCACAUAUAGCACUGGGGAGAAAUGGAAAUCUUUUUUAAGGUCACCAGUAAUAUCACAGAGACAACACCCAGGCUGUGUGAAGACUCAUGAUUUCUGAUGAUGAUAAUAUCCCAAUGGUGGUCGGAAACAUCUAUUUGGUGUGGAUGAUGAUAACUUAUGUUCUACUGGGUGAUGUUGUAAAUGGGGAAGCUGGAGCAUUCCUGAAAGGCAAAACCUGAAAUGGGGAAUGAAAACAAUCUCUUCUAAUGGCAAAUAUAGCGAGUGGGAUGGAGAAAGGAAAUAAAUACUCAACCUGUUCCUGGAAUUGUUUUCAGAUUUUCAUCGUUUUGCGCUUAAUCUUAACUGACGAAGUGGUAUGUACUACUGGUGUCUAAGUGCUAUUCUCAGCUUACUAUCUGAAUUAUGCUUUCAGAGCGUGUGAUCAAAAAUCAAACUGCAAUUUGAGCUCUUUUUUCAAGUAUAUUACUGAACCAGGAAGAAAAAAGCCCCACAAAUACUUAUAUUCAUUAACACCCAGUAGUUUAUCUUCUGUCCCAUCUCCAAGAAGUGUGAAACUGACGAAUGUGCUUUGCUUAUUUCUUACUUUCCUUUUUUUCUCCUUUUUUUUUUUUUUUUUGGAAGAUUUGCCCAUCAGGGUCUGUGGUGACAAGACAAGGGGAAAUGGUUUCAGACUUAACGAGGGUAGAUUUUGGCUGGAUAUGAGGAAGAAGUCGUUUGCAGUGAGGGUGGUGAGGCUAUGGAACAGAUUACCUGGAGAGUGGUGGAUGCCCCAUCCCUGGAGACACCCCAAGGUCAGGCUGGAUCAGGCUCUGAGCUCCUGAUGGAGAUGUAGGUGUUCCUGUUCAUUGCAGGGGAGCUGGACCAGAUGACCUUUAAAGGUCCUUCCCAACUCUAAGGAUUCUGUGAUUCUAUUUGCAGAUACUUUUGAUCCGAUACUUUUGAUACUUUUGGACCUGAAUCCGAUUUUUUUUGUGUGUUUGAAACACUUGGUCUAGGCAUUAUAGGCAUUAGGGGCAUUGCUGCUAGUACAGCUGAGGCAGGUGGAUUGCUGUGCUGAUGUUGUAUAUGUUACAUCGGCAUCCUCCCAGGGAACAGUGAAAGGCAGCAUUUUGCACUCUGACACAUGGAGUUAGGUGACAUGAGCGCUGUGUUCAGAGCUGUGCUUCUGGUGUAGACUGCAUUCAGAGAGAUUACAGAUAUAAAAAACCAGGGCUGCUGGCAGUCUCCUGCAGGAAUCUGAUACACGCUGAACUCCCAUACACACGGAGCAGUGCUCUUGGAGUAGCCGCUGUUGUAACAGGCUGACAGCUGUCUCUGCAUGAGAGUUAAUGCACAAUACUUGUUACUCUUAUCGUCGUGCUUUAUUAAUGGGGUGAUUGAAGUCAGGGGGUCCUUGAUGAGGCAGUACCUGCAGAAAGGUAGCAAAUGUCAAGGUUUUUUAGCAAGCUUUUAGCAACGGAAGUGUUAAUUUCACUUGAGUGUUUUGCAGAGCUGUCUAGGUGCAUUAUGGCUAAUUUGCAGCUAUCUCUUCUCUUGUGCUUAUUUUAAAGCUCUUAAGAGACUGGGCUUUAUAUCAGUAUUUGCAAUUGACAGCUUGUGAAGUUGAAGAGGAGUAUGAGUUGCUGUUUAGGUUAAAUAGGAAGCAUUAUUUAUAAAUAGGAAGGAAGAAAACUGACAGCUAACACAGCACGAAGAAGCCCGAGAAAGGUAAUUUUAAUACAGUAUCAUUAGACUAACCCAUUCCUACAGAAUAAAAUAUUGCAGGAAAAGCUUGUCAGGAGGUGCUGCUUUUCCUGUAGAAGCAGCAGGCUUUGAAAUUCCACAGCUGGAGAUACAAUGCUCCCUCUUAGAAUCUGAACUAUUAAAAUGCAACCCAGGGUAGGACUUACAUCCCUUGGUUUAGGCUGCCUUGUGCCAACAUGUAGUUAUAAGCCAGAGGCGUGCUUUUGCCCUGUGUCAAAGUGAGUGGAGCCUCUUUGCUCACAACCAAUCAGUGCUCAAAAGAGAAAUAACUCUAAUUGGGAAAAUGGACAACAGGAAUGGAUUUUUCCUUCUGCCCACAUAACAAAAUACUUAUUGUCAGAUCUCAAAGUGAUAGCUGCAUUAGGAAUGUCUGUACGGAGAGCUAAAAUAAAGGUAUUGAUCUGCGGCUCAUAACAAACCCUCUUAACCAUGCAACAUCUAUUCAAUUAACAGAGAGUAUAGUAUUUUAAGCUCACCAAAAUUUGAAUUAGAUCAGACAUUCAGUACACAUCUUUUUAAUUGGUUUUCUUGAUUUAUGAUCUAGGUAUAGAAUCUUGAGUUCCAUUUCAUCGUUUAAUAAUGAGAGCUGUCCUAAAACACUGCCAUUAAAUUAACUUCUAGGCCCUUACUAAAACUUGUCUGAUAUAGGCAUUGCUUUAUAACGGUGUGAGACAUUGAUUAAAUGUUAUUACAGCAAAAAGUUUCGUUAGCUGUAAUUGCAAGCUUUUCUUCUUGUAUUGGAUAGUCCUAUGCUGCUGUUAACUUACUUCAGUGUUAAAGGCAUGUACAGUUUUUUAGCGAAGAGUCUUCAGUAGUUUUGUGAUGAUAUUGAGAUUUCAUAAACAACUUGAUUGAUCGAUCCUCCCUGUUUGACAUCUGCAGUUUCCUGCUAUCCAGCCUUGAUACCGGGCUGGCAGCAAACCGGGGAUAGUUUGAGUAUAGUCACUACUAAAAGUAUUCAUGUUUGUUGCUUCUUUGCUACAUUUGCACCCUUAAUCUUUAUGCAUACAUGCCACAAUUAUGAAUUUUGAUUCCAAAAGAUCCCAGUUUAUUUAUUUAUUUUUACAGCACCUUCUGUUGCAUUCUUUUGUGGUUAUUAAUGAGAAGUCCAAAUCAAACUUCUUAAUUGCUGGGGUGCUGAGCAUUGAACUGUAAAACAGAUUGAAUAACUUCUGCUGGAAGAAAGAGCUUGUAAGGGAAAUAAAGAUACUGGGGCUCUCAUGUGGCACCAACACGCUGUGAAGCAGAAUGUCCCCUCCAACCAGCUGAUCGGUGCCAGUGCACAAGGGAGUGUAAUACUGCAGAUGAUUCAAGGCUCGGUUACCCUUAUAUCUAUUACUUGAUGUCCUCACGUGUGCUGUAGAUUUAAGCAAACUACUCUUCAACAAUGUAUGUAAUAUUGGUGGUAUUUAACUAAAAGGUUUGCAUCAAAGAAAAGUGAGGUAUUUUCUGGAUCAUCUUAGGUCUGGCUGGCAAACUGGUCACCCUGAUCCAGGAAGAACCAUACAUAAAGAACAAUGUCUUCAGCUAAAAAAUAAGGGGAAAAAAUGGCAUACUUUUGGACAAGAAGGCGAUGUCAGAGUGUUAUUUAACAGGGAAGCAGAAUGAAAAUGUGGUCUGAGACAAGAAGACAGAAAGUAGCCAAGCUGAAAUGGUUACAAGGAAGAAAAACUUGAACACUGUAGAUUGAAGCUAUAAAAUGACAAAAAAAUAAAAAAUAGCAGUCUGGGAAGGAAAGGAACAGAUGUCCCAUUUGCUGUUCAAUAAGUUCACUUCCUUGGCUUCUAAUCACUACUUUUCAUAUUCUCAAGCACUAACUCACUGCAUGUACCAUCAAAAUAAUCAACUCCUAGCAUACACUGUGUGUUUUAGAUAACCCACCUGUAGAUGCACACUAUGGUGUGGAAAAAAAUAUAUAUAUUAAUAAAAUGUGUGAGUACCAUUGUUUACAUCAGUUUUAAAUUUCUAUGAAUACAGAAUAUAUGUUUGCUGAUGUGGAAUUGACCUCUAGCAGAAGCAUGGAAUGAUAUGAACCCAGUGAUGUUUUUGGUUUUUUUAAUAUAGCAUCAAAUACUUGGAUUUCAAUUCUUUUUCAACAUUGGAAAAAACAUUUUAAUGAAAGAGUUUCCAUUGCCUGAACUCGCUUCAUUUUUGCUUCUUGAAUAGCUUUAAAGAAGUAACGUUUGCGUAAGCCAUUGUUAGUGAUGAGGUAGGAAUUAAGGAAUUUGAAGUAAAUGUGCAUCGUUUCUGGUUUGCAGUAUAAAAUUACAUGUGAAUAAAAGACUAUAUUUGCAGGAACUAUUUGUAUCUAGCCAUAAGAAUCUCUGCAACUUUGUGCUUCACUGUAUGGUGUGGGAGAGAAAGCUUUGCAUCCUGAAAGCAGUUCAGGUAACACUGGAUGAAAUAGAUGUCCAGAUCAGUAGAGACAACAAAUAUAAUGAAAUGCAACGGAUUAUACCAAUACAAUAUAAAGAUGAUGUAUACCUGAACAAGGCAAGUUCUAGAAUCUCUCUGUAUUUUCUGGGUCUCCAACUCAGGGUAGUUUCAGUAGGCAGCACAGUCUUUAUGCUCAAACUGCAAGCUACUGUUGGGACCUCUUCCUAAACAGUUCUUUGCUCAAGGCAAAUGAGCUGCUGUGCUGUGUUGUUGUAUGUUGCAAAUGUCUCUUUUUUUUCCUCUAGUCCCAAAUAACAUUCCCUUUCUAAAAUUAAUUAAGCCCAGUGAUUUAGCUUCACUUACGUUAUUAACAUAUUUGCUCAAGCAGUACAUUUUGUGACUUGCUUCGCUUAGGCACAUCUCACAGCCCACUGGCUGUUGUUGAAGAGGUCUUUCCAACUGAUGCCAACUGAAGCUGUCAGAGCAAUGUAUCAAGUGUGUUAUGAGACAGAAGAUGUUCCUAUAAGAGAUGGGAUCAUUACAACAGUUAUAAAACUGUUACAUUUCAAAAAUGCUGUCACCACCUGAAACCAUAAUUGGAUAACCAAAGACUUGACUGUUUUGUGCAGUAGUGUCUAAACUUGAUUAACUGCGUUGCUCUUAGGUAAUCCAAAAGCAUCUAGAAUCUCUUUUCCUUGUGGUUAAUGUGGUGGGGAAGGAGUUUAGAACUGGUUAGCAAAUCUAGCGUGUAUUAAAUUCAUUGAUGUCAUGAUUUUCACCUUUACAAAUAUCAAAGGAUGACUUUAACUCUUCAACUUUGCUUCUUCUGAAAGUUUAAGAUGUCUGAAUCUCUGCUGGUUAUUGUAAACUGGCUAGUCAAACAGUUGCCUUUGAACACUUGUGGACUGC